AACGAACGCUGGCGGCAUGCCUAACACAUGCAAGUCGAACGAGACCUUCGGGUCUAGUGGCGCACGGGUGCGUAACACGUGGGAAUUUGCCUCGGGGUAUGGAAUAACUCAGGGAAACUUGAGCUAAUACCAUAUAAUGUCUUCGGACCAAAAGAUUUAUCGCCCUGAGAUAAGCCCGCGUAGGAUUAGCUAGUUGGUGAGGUAAAGGCUCACCAAGGCGACGAUCCUUAGCUGGUCUGAGAGGAUGAUCAGCCACACUGGGACUGAGACACGGCCCAGACUCCUACGGGAGGCAGCAGUGGGGAAUCUUAGACAAUGGGGGGAAACCCGUAGAUCUAGCCAUGCCGCGUGAUCGAUGAAGGCCUUAGGGUUGUAAAGAUCUUUCAGUGGGGAAGAUAAUGACGAUACCCACAGAAGAAGCCCCGGCUAACU
rnacentral:rRNA from 1 species